rnacentral:rRNA from 1 species
GUGCCAGCAGCCGCGGUAAUACCGGCAGCCCAAGUGAUGUCCCAUCUUAUUGGGCCUAAAGCGUCCGUAGCUGGCCGAGCAAGUCCAUCGGGAAAUCCACCCGCCCAACGGGUGGGCGUCCGGUAGAAACUGGGCGGCUUGGGACCGGAAGGCUCAGAGAGUACGUCCGGGGUAGGAGUGAAAUCCCGUAAUCCCGGACGGACUACCGAUGGCGAAAGCACUCUGAGAAGACGGCUUCGACAGUGAGGGACGAAAGCUCGGGUCUCAAACCGGAUUAGAAACCCUGGUAGUCC